rnacentral:rRNA from 1 species
AUUGAACGCUGGCGGCAGGCCUAACACAUGCAAGUCGAACGGUAACAGGAAGAAGCUUGCUUCUUUGCUGACGAGUGGCGGACGGGUGAGUAAUGUCUGGGAAACUGCCUGAUGGAGGGGGAUAACUACUGGAAGCGGUAGCUAAUACCGCAUAACGUCGCAAGACCAAAGAGGGGGACCUUCGGGCCUCUUGCCAUCGGAUGUGCCCAGAUGGGAUUAGCUAGUAGGUGGGGUAACGGCUCACCUAGGCGACGAUCCCUAGCUGGUCUGAGAGGAUGACCAGCCACACUGGAACUGAGGCACGGUCCAGACUCCUACGGGAGGCAGCAGUGGGGAAUAUUGCACAAAGGGCGCAAGCCUGAUGCAGCCAUGCCGCGUGUAUGAAGAAGGCCUUCGGGUUGUAAAGUACUUUCAGCGGGGAGGAAGGGAGUAAAGUUAAUACCUUUGCUCAUUGACGUUACCCGCAGAAGAAGCACCGGCUAACUCCGUG